ACACAUGCAAGUCGAGGGGAAACGACAUCGAAAGCUUGCUUUUGAUGGGCGUCGACCGGCGCACGGGUGAGUAACGCGUAUCCAACCUGCCCACCACUUGGGGAUAACCUUGCGAAAGUAAGACUAAUACCCAAUGACGUCUCUAGAAGACAUCUGAAAGAGAUUAAAGAUUUAUCGGUGAUGGAUGGGGAUGCGUCUGAUUAGCUUGUUGGCGGGGUAACGGCCCACCAAGGCAACGAUCAGUAGGGGUUCUGAGAGGAAGGUCCCCCACAUUGGAACUGAGACACGGUCCAAACUCCUACGGGAGGCAGCAGUGAGGAAUAUUGGUCAAUGGACGAGAGUCUGAACCAGCCAAGUAGCGUGCAGGAUGACGGCCCUAUGGGUUGUAAACUGCUUUUAUAAGGGAAUAAAGUGAGUCUCGUGAGACUUUUUGCAUGUACCUUAUGAAUAAGGACCGGCUAAUUCCGUGCCAGCAGCCGCGGUAAUACGGAAGGUCCGGGCGUUAUCCGGAUUUAUUGGGUUUAAAGGGAGCGUAGGCCGGAGAUUAAGCGUGUUGUGAAAUGUAGACGCUCAACGUCUGCACUGCAGCGCGAACUGGAGGGCUUGAGUACGCACAAAGUGGGCGGAAUUCGUGGUGUAGCGGUGAAAUGCUUAGAUAUCACGAAGAACUCCGAUUGCGAAGGCAGCUCACUGGAGCGCAACUGACGCUGAAGCUCGAAAGUGCGGGUAUCGAACAGGAUUAGAUACCCUGGUAGUCCGCACGGUAAACGAUGGAUGCCCGCUGUUGGUCUGAAUAGGUCAGCGGCCAAGCGAAAGCAUUAAGCAUCCCACCUGGGGAGUACGCCGGCAACGGUGAAACUCAAAGGAAUUGACGGGGGCCCGCACAAGCGGAGGAACAUGUGGUUUAAUUCGAUGAUACGCGAGGAACCUUACCCGGGCUUGAAUUGCA
rnacentral:rRNA from 1 species